GACGAACGCUGGCGGCGUGCCUAACACAUGCAAGUCGAACGAAACCUUCGGGUUUAGUUGCGCAGGGGUGCGUAAGGCGUGGGAAGCUGCCCGUAGGUUCGGAAUACCUGCCUGAAAGGUGUCCUAAUAACGGAUAAUGUCUUCGGACCAAAGAUCUAUUGCCGUAGGAUGGGCCCGCGUCGGAUUAGCCAGUUGGUAGGGUAAAAGCCUACCAAGGCGACGAUCCUUAGCUGGUCUGAGAGGAUGACUUGCCACACUGGGACUGAGACACGGCCCAGACUCCUACGGGAGGCAGCAGUGGGGAAUAUUGGACAAUGGGGGAAAGCCUGAUCCAGCAACGCCGCGUGAGUGAUGAAGGCGUUAGGGAUGUAAAGCUCUUUUAGCCGGGAUGAUAGUGACGGUACCGGGAGAAGAAGCCCCGGCUAACUACGUG
rnacentral:rRNA from 1 species